rnacentral:rRNA from 1 species
GACGAACGCUGGCGGCGUGCUUAACACAUGCAAGUCGAACGGAAAGGCCCUGCUUUUGUGGGGUGCUCGAGUGGCGAACGGGUGAGUAACACGUGAGUAACCUGCCCUUGACUUUGGGAUAACUUCAGGAAACUGGGGCUAAUACCGGAUAGGAGCUCCUGCUGCAUGGUGGGGGUUGGAAAGUUUCGGCGGUUGGGGAUGGACUCGCGGCUUAUCAGCUUGUUGGUGGGGUAGUGGCUUACCAAGGCUUUGACGGGUAGCCGGCCUGAGAGGGUGACCGGCCACAUUGGGACUGAGAUACGGCCCAGACUCCCACGGGAGGCAGCAGUGGGGAAUAUUGCACAAUGGGCGGAAGCCUGAUGCAGCAACGCCGCGUGCGGGAUGACGGCCUUCGGGUUGUAAACCGCUUUCGCCUGUGACGAAGCGUGAGUGACGGUAAUGGGUAAAGAAGCACCGGCUAACUACGUGCCAGCAGCCGCGGUGAUACGUAGGGUGCGAGCGUUGUCCGGAUUUAUUGGGCGUAAAGGGCUCGUAGGUGGUUGAUCGCGUCGGAAGUGUAAUCUUGGGGCUUAACCCUGAGCGUGCUUUCGAUACGGGUUGACUUGAGGAAGGUAGGGGAGAAUGGAAUUCCUGGUGGAGCGGUGGAAUGCGCAGAUAUCAGGAGGAACACCAGUGGCGAAGGCGGUUCUCUGGGCCUUUCCUGACGCUGAGGAGCGAAAGCGUGGGGAGCGAACAGGCUUAGAUACCCUGGUAGUCCACGCUGUAAACGGUGGGUACUAGGUGUGGGGUCCAUUCCACGGGUUCCGUGCCGUAGCUAACGCCUUAAGUACCCCGCCUGGGGAGUACGGCCGCAAGGCUAAAACUCAAAGGAAUUGACGGGGCCCCGCACAAGCGGCGGAGCAUGCGGAUUAAUUCGAUGCAACGCGUAGAACCUUACCUGGGUUUGACAUGGAUCGGGAGUGCUCAGAGAUGGGUGUGCCUCUUUUGGGGUCGGUUCACAGGUGGUGCAUGGCUGUCGUCAGCUCGUGUCGUGAGAUGUUGGGUUAAGUCCCGCAACGAGCGCAACCCUUGUUCACUGUUGCCAGCACGUUAUGGUGGGGACUCAGUGGAGACCGCCGGGGUCAACUCGGAGGAAGGUGGGGAUGACGUCAAGUCAUCAUGCCCCUUAUGUCCAGGGCUUCACGCAUGCUACAAUGGCUGGUACAGAGAGUGGCGAGCCUGUGAGGGUGAGCGAAUCUCGGAAAGCCGGUCUCAGUUCGGAUUGGGGUCUGCAACUCGACCUCAUGAAGUCGGAGUCGCUAGUAAUCGCAGAUCAGCAACGCUGCGGUGAAUACGUUCCCGGG